rnacentral:rRNA from 1 species
ACGCUAGCUACAGGCUUAACACAUGCAAGUCGAGGGGCAGCAUUUUAGUUUGCUUGCAAACUGAAGAUGGCGACCGGCGCACGGGUGAGUAACACGUAUCCAACCUGCCGAUAACUCCGGGAUAGCCUUUCGAAAGAAAGAUUAAUACCGGAUAGCAUACGAAUAUCGCAUGAUAUUUUUAUUAAAGAAUUUCGGUUAUCGAUGGGGAUGCGUUCCAUUAGUUUGUUGGCGGGGUAACGGCCCACCAAGACUACGAUGGAUAGGGGUUCUGAGAGGAAGGUCCCCCACAUUGGAACUGAGACACGGUCCAAACUCCUACGGGAGGCAGCAGUGAGGAAUAUUGGUCAAUGGGCGCGAGCCUGAACCAGCCAAGUAGCGUGAAGGAUGAAGGCUCUAUGGGUCGUAAACUUCUUUUAUAUGGGAAUAAAGUUUUCCACGUGUGGAAUUUUGUAUGUACCAUAUGAAUAAGGAUCGGCUAACUCCGUGCCAGCAGCCGCGGUAAUACGGAGGAUCCGAGCGUUAUCCGGAUUUAUUGGGUUUAAAGGGAGCGUAGGUGGAUUGUUAAGUCAGUUGUGAAAGUUUGCGGCUCAACCGUAAAAUUGCAGUUGAAACUGGCAGUCUUGAGUACAGUAGAGGUGGGCGGAAUUCGUGGUGUAGCGGUGAAAUGCUUAGAUAUCACGAAGAACUCCGAUUGCGAAGGCAGCUCACUAGACUGUCACUGACACUGAUGCUCGAAAGUGUGGGUAUCAAACAGGAUUAGAUACCCUGGUAGUCCACACAGUAAACGAUGAAUACUCGCUGUUUGCGAUAUACAGUAAGCGGCCAAGCGAAAGCAUUAAGUAUUCCACCUGGGGAGUACGCCGGCAACGGUGAAACUCAAAGGAAUUGACGGGGGCCCGCACAAGCGGAGGAACAUGUGGUUUAAUUCGAUGAUACGCGAGGAACCUUACCCGGGCUUAAAUUGCAACAGAAUAUAUUGGAAACAGUAUAGCCGUAAGGCUGUUGUGAAGGUGCUGCAUGGUUGUCGUCAGCUCGUGCCGUGAGGUGUCGGCUUAAGUGCCAUAACGAGCGCAACCCUUAUCUUUAGUUACUAACAGGUCAUGCUGAGGACUCUAGAGAGACUGCCGUCGUAAGAUGUGAGGAAGGUGGGGAUGACGUCAAAUCAGCACGGCCCUUACGUCCGGGGCUACACACGUGUUACAAUGGGGGGUACAGAAGGCGGCUACCUGGUGACAGGAUGCUAAUCCCAAAAACCUCUCUCAGUUCGGAUCGAAGUCUGCAACCCGACUUCGUGAAGCUGGAUUCGCUAGUAAUCGCGCAUCAGCCAUGGCGCGGUGAAUACGUUCCCGGGCCUUGUACACACCGCCCGUCAAGCCAUGAAAGCCGGGGGUACAAGAAGUACGUAACCGCAAGGAGCGUCCUAGGGUAAAACUGG